rnacentral:tRNA from 1 species
UACAUCCAUAGCUCAAUUGGUUAGAGCUACCGCCUCUUAAGCGGAGGGUUCUAGGUUCAAGUCCUAGUGGGUGUACCAA